GCCGAGCAGCGAGCCAGUACACGCGUCGCUUCUUAAGAGCCGUAGGCCGUACGAAUUAGUAUUCUCCGGCCGGUGAGGACCUAGACCCAGUGUUGCUCGUGGAAUUGCCUAAUAUACUGUGUAGUGUGGCAAGUAAUGCGGGGAAUUGGGUUAGAAAGUGGCCGACGGUGUUCGCGAUCCCAAUGAAAACAGAACCGUCGAAAGGGAAUCAGGUUAAAAAUAGAAUAUCCAGUCGAAUAAGAACAGCAUUUUGGACAGUUGCUGUUGUCAAAUUUAAAAUAAACGUGGCCACAGGAGUGCAAAAGGUCUAACUAAUUCAACUGAAGAUCACGAAACGAAGAAUCGAAUCAAUAUUUCCAUUGGAUCCUCUCCGAAAAGACUCGAUCACGUCGCUGACACUUCGAAAGAAAAAGAAGCGUUUCGGGUACGCUCGACACGUGGGUAAGCGGCCGAAUAUGGAGCAUCGCGCGUGUCAGCUCGAAUACGAGCUGCCCUGUGCUCCCGAUGAUCGCGCGAUACUACAAAAGGCGGAGGAACAGGUGUCGCUCGCAUGCGGAAUGAAGCUGAUUCGGGUACGCGGCACAAUUUAAACGAGUCGCCGUCGUCGUCAGCGGCAGCGGCGGCGCCGUGGACAGGAACGGGGGCACGCACCUCGACACGUGAUCCACGGUGCAUAACCGUUUGCGCGAUAUCCAUCUAAAUGUUAAUUGACGGCAGCCGCGGCGGUCGCGUGGUCUCGCCGCGGCUCUCCGCCGUUUUCCGCGAGCGCCAACUGAGACCAAUCGUUUCACGGAAGAGUCACCGGAUACCAGGAACCGCGGGACGGUGCUAUCCAAUUUUUCUGCACUACUAUUUCCGUAGCAUGUCGAAUGCCGGACGAUUUCACGAAAUGAGAUACAUGUAGCGCGAAGGAUACACUAAAUUGUUUAAUUGAGUUGGUUAGAUUUAUAUUAUUGUAUGCUUCUUGGAAGAUUAAUGCUUUGCGACUGUAACUGCUACUCUUAAUGGCGACUACAGAUUUUGUUUUGUUGUAGUAACUAUGAUUUAAGAAAU